AGUAGGAUAGCUGGGUCAAAUGGUGAUUUCCAUUACAAGUUUUCUAAGAAAUAUCCAUACUGCUUUCCAGAUUGGCUACACCAAUUUACAGUUCCGCCAGCAAU
rnacentral:pre_miRNA from 1 species